rnacentral:rRNA from 1 species
CGCCUGUUUAUCAAAAACAUCUUUUCUUGUUAGUUUUUGAAGUAUGGCCUGCCCGCUGACUUUAGUGUUGAAGGGCCGCGGUAUUUUGACCGUGCAAAGGUAGCAUAGUCAUUAGUUCUUUAAUUGUGAUCUGGUAUGAAUGGCUUGACGAGGCAUGGGCUGUCUUAAUUUUGAAUUGUUUAUUGAAUUUGGUCUUUGAGUUAAAAUUCUUAGAUGUUUUUAUGGGACGAGAAGACCCUAUAGAGUUUGACAUUUAUUAUGGUCUUUUUUUGUUUGUGAGGGUUCACUGGGCCGUUUAAUGUGUUUUGUUGGGGUGAUGGGAGGGAUAUAAUUUAACCCCUCCUUUGUUUUAUUAUAUUUAUUUAUAUUUGUUUGAUCCAUUUAUUUUGAUUGUAAGAUUAAAUUACCUUAGGGAUAACAGCGUAA